GGUUGAUCCUGCCGGACCGGACUGCUAUCGGAGUGGGCCUAAGCCAUGCGAGUCGAACGCCCCGGGCUGGCGGGGCGUGGCGUACGGCUCAGUAGCACGUGGUCAACCUACCCUGCGGACGGCUAUAACCCCGGGAAACUGGGGCUAAUAGCCGAUAGGGGAUUGGUGCUGGAAGGCCCUUUCCCUGAAAGGCCUAGUCGCCCAUGCCGCGGCUAGGCGCCGCAGGAUGGGACUGCGCCCCAUCAGGUAGACGGUGGGGUAACGGCCCACCGUGCCGAUAACGGGUGCGGGCCCUGGGAGGGGGAGCCCGGAGAUGGCCACUGAGACAAGGGGCCAGGCCCUACGGGGCGCAGCAGGCGCGAAACCUCCGCUAUGCGCGAAAGCGCGACGGGGUCACUCCGAGUGCCGCCUGCAGAGGGCGGCUUUUGCCCAGUCCA
rnacentral:rRNA from 1 species